AAUGAACGAAAACAUUUUAUGGAAUAAUGUCUAACAAAUCAAAAUAUUUUUUUUAUGAAAUAUAAAGAAAUAAAAUUAGAUUUUCUUAUCCUACUUUAAAACAGCCACAUUUAUUAAGAGAAAGUGAAACAUGAGUUUUGAAUCUAAAUCUGAACCAAGCAAACUAAUAAAUGUUUAAUUUUCUUGAACCAUUAUAAUUACCCUA
rnacentral:lncRNA from 1 species